GUAGGGGGCGAGCGUUGUCCGGAUUUAUUGGGCGUAAAACGCUCGUAGGUGGCCACGCCAAGUCGGACGUGAAAUCUCCUGGCUUAACUAGGAGGGGUCGCUCGAUACUGGCGGGCUCGAGGCAGGGAGGGGGAAGCGGAAUUCCCGGUGUAGUGGUGGAAUGCGUAGAUAUCGGGAGGAACACCAGUGGCGAAGGCGGCUUCCUGGCCCUGAUCUGACACUGAGGAGCGAAAGCGUGGGGAGCGAUCCGGAUUAGAUACCCGGGUAGUCCACGCCGUAAACGGUGCGCACUAGGUGUCGGGGGUAUCGACCCCUCCGGUGCCGCAGCUAACGCAGUAAGUGCGCUGCCUGGGGAGUACGGCCGCAAGGCUAAA
rnacentral:rRNA from 1 species